CACCGCUCGGUCAAGCCACACUGUGGCGGCAUCCCACAUAAAAUAGAGGAAGACUGGCACAGAUGUUAGCUCAGCAACAACCUUCCUCACCAAAAUUAAAAAAAAAAAAGGCAAACUCAGAAACAAAAUGAAAUACUUGACACAAAUAGACUAAAGCAAACAAUAAUACCCUAAGUCUGCAAAGGGCUCUUUUAAAUUUAUCGAAAAACGGUCAGUUGGCAAUAGGCAGAGGACAUGAAUAGACAGUUCGUUGAAGAAAAAUACAAAGGUAUCAACACAUGAACCAAUGGAAGUCUGGCCUCACUAGGGAGCAAUCAAGGGACAGUGGAAUCAACCACAAUCAUGCCACAGUGUUUGGAGUAAGGAUGUUGUGAUGUGGACAGCUUCCCAUACUGUCGGUUGGAACACAUUAGAACCCUAAAAUAACGACACAAAGGUUACACCCUUUGAUCCAGAAAUUCCACUUCUGAGAAGCUAUCUUGAGAAACUAUUUGCAGAUACAAAUAUGUAAAGGUGAGAAUAUUCACUGAAGUAUUAAUAUCCCUAGUUCCACCUCUUACUAGUCACCAAACCUCACUAAACCUCAGUUUCCUCAUCUGUGAAAUGGGAAUUAAAAUAGUACCCAAUCGUAGGGCUGUCAUGAAGAUUCAGCGUGAUGGUACAUGUAAACUUUUUAGGAAGAAGACCUCUUACAUAGUAAUAACGUAGCAGAUCACAACUACUUUUUAAAAGUAAAAUAAUAGAGAAAAGGAAAGUGUUGCAUGAGAAGCAAGGUCCGAGGUCAGAGGACAUCAGUCUUUGGUCUAAUUUCAGGCCAGUCUCCUAUGUGUAAGAUUUGCAUGAAGAGUGGAAAAGAUGCAAGGACACUUCCUUGGAUUCAGCCUUCCCAGGCCAACUUGCCAAAUUAAUGAGGAAUAAAGCUUCCGUCUACUCAACAGCUACCACCCUCUUCCCAUGGAUCAGGACUGAAAUGUACUGCUGCAAUGCCAUUCACGGCCUGGGAUAAAAAGAUGAGAAACUGAGGCCUGGAGAAGGCCCCACAGAUGGUUGAGGAGAGCCAGAUCAUGAACCAACAUCAUGGCACAUCUCGCCUGAAGAACCCACACCAGUUCCAGAGCCUUCAGGAAGUCCUUCCCAUCUACUCACUUCUUCCUGCCUCCAGUGGUUCUGGAAGAAUUCAGAGAAUGCCUCAUUUGCAGGGCUAAAAGAAGCCUAUGGAGGCUUCCAUUCCUGUCCUGGGCAUGUAGGCACAAACAAGAGUCAUCUCUACCCCCAGUAAGAAGGGUUACUGCAUAAGUGAACACAACAGAAGAGAAGCCUGCCCAAGGCCUCCCCAGAGAUUUGGCUUUCCGCCUCCUGGAAAUUGGUUUCACCUAAGCCAAGAAACCAGUUAUCAGAUGGGAAUGGCAUUCUGUCAUCCCAGCCUGGGUCACCAGACACCUAGAGGUGAGAGUCUUUGGGACAUAUUUCCCUGAUUAAACCAUCAUGGCAUCCUUCUGACACGUAAGUGUGGAAGAAAGGAAUGUGUUACCGGGACCCAGUGAACAAAUCUUUUUAUAGCAUGACGUUGGACAUGAGGAUGUGGAUGCCUGAACACUAACAACACUUCAGUAAAGAACUAUCUUCAGUAGAGGCCCUCCCAAAUGCCAUCCCACAGUGACACAGAGGGAACAGUCUGAAGAAACUGCAAAGAGCUGCAUUAUUUGUAAGCAGAAAGUGGGAACCAGAUUGUAUCACAGCUGCUGAGGACAGAACAAAAACAAGUGGCCCUGAGACGAUCAGAAGGAAAUAUGGGCCAACGGAGACUGCAGACUCUCUGUUUCCCAUUGUAGAUUUUUAAAACAUGAUAGUUUCUUCUAUCUGGGGAACUAUUUAAUUGUGGUCACUUUUGAAGGCAGAAGCCUAGUCUCCACUUGGGGGAAUGGGACCAAUAUGGAUAAUAUAGCUUAAUCUGAUGCAGUCAAGAAGGGGUGGAGCAAGGAAAUGAAUAUUUAUUGAUUGUCUAUGAUGUGCUAGUCAUUUUUCAAUCAUUGACUUAUUUAAUCUUCCAAACCACACCAGGAGGUUGCUAUGACUAUCUCUCCCUUUCAAAACAGGAGGAUGGGGCUCAGGAAGCUAAGGGAACCCACAACCAAGGAGAGGUGGGAAGCGGAUCAGGGCUUUGAAGUCUUUUCUUACUAAGAACAAGGACAACCCCCAACCUCAGAUGCCAAUCAUUACAAUUAUGUUAUGAAAUUAAAUAUUUUCUUAAAAAGAAAAAGCAAGGAGGCAGCCUCUGGUAUAUAGUUUAUCUGCCAAGCACCAGUGCCUUUCCGUGGUUCUGACUCAGAGACUGCUUCCAUGGCCUUCUAGGCAAAGAACCUAGAGUUUUCUGCAUCCCUAUGCCCACCUCUGCCUGAUCCUUUUCCGAUAGUUUCAAAGAUGUGGCCAGGAUCACCUGUAGUGUCUCCUUGACUGUCCAAAUGAGCAUCACAUCAGGGUGACCUCUGCCCACAGGUAGGUGGAGACGUCUUGGC
rnacentral:lncRNA from 1 species